UCAAUGAUCAAGUUUGAGGUCGGGAGGAAUGAGUUUAAGAGCUGUUUUUGUCUUGUUAGGUAAUUGACAUUGCAGGCACGAGUCUUUUUCUUUUGAUAAGACAUUGCAGGGAGAGGCUUAGAGGGUGGUUGGUCAGGGCUUAAAAUCCCUCCUUCUUGAUUUAUAAGUAGAAGCAAUUGUUUGUGUAAAAAAUAAGAAGUACUUAAAAAAAGUUGAGAAACACCUGGGAAACACUUGAUAUAUAUUAGUAGUCAGGAAAUCAGUUUCUGUACUCUGUAAUUUGGUCACUCAGGUUAAUAAUAUUAGCUUCCUCCGGUGGAUGUAGGCAAGUUGCCGAACCACGUUGAUUUUGUUUACCGUUUUUGAUAUAUUAUUUACUGCUUCUUGUUUCUCUGCUCACUGCAUAUGAUGGAGCCAAGACCAGCACCGCCUCUUCAAGAUGUCGACAACCAAGAACUUGAGAACUUCCUUUCAUCUUUGCCGAAAGAGAGAGGUUAUUGAUUGCUUUGGCAUUGAUUAUUUCACCUACAAGUCUGAUGAAAGACAUUUCAGGCACGUUAUAUAUCAGCUUAAAAUGAUAGUUUUCUGCAAUAUUGAGAAACACUUGAUAUAUAUUACUAGUGAGGAAAUCAGUUUCUGUACUCUGUAAUUUAGCUGCCUCCUGUGGAUGUAGGCAAGUUGCCGAACCUCGUUAAUCUAGUUUACUGUUUCUGAUAUAUUAUUUACCGCUGUUUGUUUCUCUGCGCACCACAUAUGAUGGAGCCAAGACCAGCACCGCCUCUUCAGGACGUCGACAACCAAGAACUUGAGAACUUGCUUUCAUCUUUGCCGAAAGAGAGAGGUAUUAUCCCAUCAUACUCAUAUCAGUACCAAGGAUUCUGGUAUUCUCCUAUAACUUUGCAGGGAAUUAUCAAUUGUCAAAAAUAUUUUCAACCCCGUGAAAAUGAUAUCUUCCUUGUUACAUCCCCCAAAAUUCGGCACCACCUGGCUUAAAGCCAUCCUUUUUGCAUUGGUGAACCGCGAAGCCCACCCUCCUCAGGAUCCUCACCAUCCUCUACUUAGUAAAACUCCCCAUCAGCUUGUUCCUUUUCUCGAAUUUCUUCAUCCCUCUGAGUAUGACUCCCUUUGCAACUCCUCAGACAGCAGCAGUAGGAUCUUUGCAACUCAUAUUUCAUUAGGUACCCUCCCAAAAGCUAUAACCGGCGACUCUGGCUCAUUAAACUGCAAAAUAGUCUACCUCUGCAGGGACAUCAAAGACACCUUUGUUUCACUCUUUCACUUUGGCACCAAGAAGAAGACCUCUCCCAUCUCUUUGGAAGACGCCUUUGAUUUGUACUGUAAGGGAAUCAGUUCAGCUGGACCGAUUUGGGAUCAAAUCUUGGGAUAUUGGAAAGAGAGCCAGAAAAACCCACAUAAGGUGCUCUUUAUGAGGUAUGAAGAGAUGAAAGAUGAGCCUUAUUUACAGCUGAGGCGUCUAGCAAAUUUUCUUGGGAUACCAUUUUCCCAGGAGGAGGAAAAUUCAGGUUUGGUUGAUCAAAUCAUAAGUAUAUGUAGUUUCGAGAGCAUGACCAAGGUAGAUGUUAAUAAGACGGGAACCUUUGUGGAUGGAUUCAACAAUAGUUCAUUUUUCCGGAAAGGUGUAAUCGGAGAUUGGAAAAAUUGUUUAACUGCUGAUAUGGCUUCUAGGUUGGAUCAGAUUACAGAAGAAAAAUUCCGUUGUUCUGGUUUGUCUCUCUAAUAUUUUUUACUAUGCUCCUGCCAAAAUAUCUGCUAAAAAUUUCUUUUGUGUGAUUUCAACUGGUCUUGGUUUCCAUGUUUCAUGUUAAUUAGUA